GACUGAGACACGGCCCAGACUCCUACGGGAGKCAGCAGUAGGGAAUCUUCCGCAAUSGACGAAAGUCUGACGGAGCAACGCCGCGUGAGUGAUGAAGGUUUUCGGAUCGUAAAGCUCUGUUGUUAGGGAAGAACAAGUGCCGUUCAAAUAGGGCGGCACCUUGACGGUACCUAACCAGAAAGCCACGGCUAACUACGUGCCAGCAGCCGCGGUAAUACGUAGGUGGCAAGCGUUGUCCGGAAUUAUUGGGCGUAAAGGGCUCGCAGGCGGUUUCUUAAGUCUGAUGUGAAAGCCCCCGGCUCAACCGGGGAGGGUCAUUGGAAACUGGGGAACUUGAGUGCAGAAGAGGAGAGUGGAAUUCCACGUGUAGCGGUGAAAUGCGUAGAGAUGUGGAGGAACACCAGUGGCGAAGGCGACUCUCUGGUCUGUAACUGACGCUGAGGAGCGAAAGCGUGGGGAGCGAACAGGAUUAGAUACCCUGGUAGUCCACGCCGUAAACGAUGAGUGCUAAGUGUUAGGGGGUUUCCGCCCCUUAGUGCUGCAGCUAACGCAUUAAGCACUCCGCCUGGGGAGUACGGUCGCAAGACUGAAACUCAAAGGAAUUGACGGGGGCCCGCACAAGCGGUGGAGCAUGUGGUUUAAUUCGAAGCAACGCGAAGAACCUUACCAGGUCUUGACAUCCUCUGACAAUCCUAGAGAUAGGACGUCCCCUUCGGGGGCAGAGUGACAGGUGGUGCAUGGU
rnacentral:rRNA from 1 species